CGUCCCGCGUUCUUCAGAGUAGAGGAUGCCGUGUUGGAGGUAACACAGGGGCAGGAGAACUCUCAUUGUUUGGCCUAAAGACAAGUUUUCUAGUAACGGGAACUUGGAGACAAGCUGAGUGAGGCUUGGGAAUAUUUGAUGUGUGUAGCAGUCUUUGAUUAUAGACUGGAGUCGGAAAUCGCUACCUUUGUACAGAGUUGGAUUCAGGGGUUUCUUCUCUUUCUGUAUUCUGUUGAUACUGAUUGUCUGACUGAGAACCACAAUAAAAGGAGAACUUGCAACUCCACGUCUUUGUCGCUCAUUUCUUGUCGACACAACUAGUGAGGUGGACACCCAUCCC